rnacentral:lncRNA from 1 species
GGGUUCACGGGAGAGAAGAAGGAAAAGGAAGAAAGGAAGAAAGGAAGAGAGAGAGAGAGGAAAGAAGAGAGAGAAAGAAGAGGAAGAGAGAAUAGAGGAAGAUGAGAGGAGAUAAUAGAGAGAGUUAUCUUUGUACUCCUAUUAUUUCAAAUUAUAAUGAAAGCGCCGCUGCUGCCCCGAGGACGUACUCCAGUCACACUGACUGUAGAGGAACCUCGUAAAUUUUGUGUCUUGUUUCAUUUAUUCCACUGCACCCACAGUCGAUUUUUUACAACACGUUAUCAGCACGAGAAGCUCUCAUGUCAGUGGAAAGCACAACGCCACAAAUCCCUGUUCACCUCCUUCAGCUGGAAUCUCACAGAUAAGAAACAAUUUUCAUUUCAUCUUCAAAUCUCAGUACAAUUGAUUUACUUGAAGCAACUAUAUAUAUUGUUGUAUGACUGUAUAUCAUCAUUUGCAGAAGCAAAAGAGUACAUACUCAAAAUUCGUAAAGAAUUUGACAGCCAUGUAAAUAGCCUCGGAACUCUAACUUGCGGACCUCGGAUUGAAAUACUUUCUUCUUGAAAGUUGUUCGUCUGCUCAGUAUCUACAAACAUAUCAAAAUUUCAGAAAAUGUUAACGGUGCGAUCGUGGCAGAUGUCUGAAAUACCAAACCAGUUUCCAAUUUCCGCAGAAAACUGGGCAGCCACCUUAUGAGUACCAAAACGCCAUUUCGAUAGCUCAAAUCGAAAUUGUUUUCUUCACGAAAGUUGUUUGGUAUCCUCUUAUCCAUAUCAUACUAAAUUUUGAAUUAAAACUAACGGUUAGAUCUUCUCAUAAGUUGCAGACACUCUUGACUCCAAAACUUAUGGGAACCGUUUCGACUUUUUCGAAACUCACCGGAGGAGGAACACCAAUUGGAACUAAUUGUUACUAUUAUUUACUGAGUAACCAAAAUGACUUCGAACUGUGAAAUAAUAAUAAAAAUAAAAGGGAUGAAACAAAAGAAGUGGCAGACCAAGAAAAUGAAAAAGCAAAACAUGAGGACUUAAUCAUUGUAUUUUCUGUUUUGGCAUAUUUAUGUGCAUGGUGUUGGUUAAAGCCCAUGUCACAAGUUCUAUUUAUUUAAAGCAAUUUAUUUAUAGUGGGUAGAAUUAUUACCCUUUGCUUUAAAGCUUUGAUAUUUAUGUGAAUGGUGCUGAAUCAAAGCCCUUGUCACAAGCUUUAUUUACUUUAAAGCAAUUUAUUUACCAUGGACGGUUUUACCGCCUAUUGCUUUAAGUUUUGAUGGUGCUGAAUUAAAGCCCUUGUCACAAACUUUAUUUACUUAAAUGCAAUUUAUUCAUUAUGGCUGGAAUUACCGUCUAUUGCUUUAAUUUAUUUAUUGUACUUAUCUUUUGUUACUAUGAGUAUAUACAGGACCUGAAGUUCCUUGAUCAGAUCAGAACCUGCAGUUUCUUGAUCCUCAUCAUAUAAAAUGAUUGGACCCGAAGUUCCAUCAUACAAAAGGAUCUGGCAUGAAGUCCAUUGAUCCUGAAGAUCAGGACAUGAUGAUCCUAGAUGAGUACCAUUAGUUUGAAGUGCCGCAGUGCCUUAACUUAAUUGUAAUAAAAGCCAUAAGAGUCUUAGUUUACAGACUAUUAAAUAAGGACCAGAAGUUCCUUAUGUCCAUACUCAAAAUGGUUUAGCAGAAGCCUUUAUUAAGCGAAUGAAAUUGAUUUCCCGCGCUCUGCUCAUGAAAACGAAAUUGCCAAUUUUCUACAUGGGGACAUGUAAACUUUACAUGAUGCAUUAUUAAUUCGGUUGAGACAUGUUACCGACCAUCAAUACUUCUCAGUACAACUCGGGUUUGGAACCAACCAAACAUUAUACAUUUACGAGUUUUUUGGUUGUGUUGUCUAUGUGCCUGUAAGACUGCCACAACGUACUGAAAUGAGGCAUCAUUGCAGAUUAGGCAUUGAUGUUGAACACCAUCUAUCAUUCAAUAUUUGGAAUUCUUGAUUGGGGAUAUGUUUACCGCAUGGUUUGCGGACUGUCAUUUUGAUAAGACAAUUUUCCUGCCAUUAGGGGGAGAAAAUAAUAUCGUUCCAGAAGAACGAUGAGAAAAUAUCAUUCCAAAAGAAUGAUGAGAAAAGACCGUUCCAGAAGAACGAAGAGAAUUUGUCUUAUUUUGAUUCACGAAGCAAUCAAUGAGAAAAUGAAAUAUGAAUAAUUGAAUGAUGCAACGAAAGUGAUGAAAUCAUAUAUACUUACUGCAAAUGUGCCUACAAGAAUUGAUGUCUCAGUUGGAUAAAAUAAUGAGACAGUAAAUGAUUUAUCUGUUGCACGCCUGAAGCAUGGCAGAUUUUUAGACUCAAAAGGUUCAGUUAUUCGAAAGAAGAAUAAUAUGGCACUACUGAACUAUUGCAUUCCCGAAGCAUAACUGUUGCAUGCCAGAAGCAUGACAGUCACCGCAUGGAUACACGUCCCAGAUAGGACAAUCCACAAACAUGGGAAUGUUGAUGUCUCAUACACGAAGCAUAAUAGACAUAUAGGUUCCAAUGACUCAACUCCCGGAAGUGGAGAUUAAAAUCCAAGCUCUAUAACACUCAAGAGGAGGUUAUGAUCCACAUUCUCUCAAUUAUGACUAUCCUGAAGAGAUAGCGUCAUGCCCUUGAAGAGGCAAUGGAUAUCCAAAGAAAUGAAAAGCUUUUAUGCAUGCGCAUGCACAUGAGAAUAUGGGAUCACGGAUUGAUGAUAACCAAUGGUAAUUUUGGUUUUUACAAGUAGCUACUAAAUUCAUCAAUGAGCUGUGUUAAUAUUGAGUCACGUUCUUUUGUUCGUCGACAAAAGAAAAAUUAUUGGCCAAAAUGGAGAAAGGCAAUUCCAUUACAAAUUUUGUAAGAACGUGGGCAAAUGAACCUAUAUAUAUUUGAAUACAAUACAAAUAGCCAAAGAAUGUUAAACCAAGGAGGUUAUAUAUGGGCAUUUGUAAUAUAGUGUAAUACACUUACAUGAUAUGACACAAAGUUGUAAACGAGUUCAUAUGAAUGGAGAAUUAUAUACGAAGGGUUGUGAGUCGCCCACAUUAUAUUUCCAUAAGUAAAUCCCUCAAGUAUACAUGGGAGCAAAUUGCUCUGUAUAAAUUCCAAAGGAAAAUGUGUCAUGAAGUGUAGAAAACCCUUGAAGGAUUCAAAUUGCUUGAAGUAAGCCUCUGAAGGGUAAAACAUAAAAUAUGUACUCAAUACCAAUGGAUGAUAUAAAUUGCCUUAGUGAGUACUAUCAUUAUGAUAUUGUUGCAACGUACUAAAAUCUCUUGCAAGAAUCAAUAACAUUAAAUUAUAACUCUUGAAGAGUUGAUGAUAUUAAAUUGGGACUCCUGAAGAGUCUAGAAAAAAUUAUAAAGUGUUGAAGGAAUUAUUGUCUCGAGCUGCAGAUCGAACAAUCUACCAACACGAAUCUUAUCCAUGAUAUUUAUGAUAUUAAAAGAACCAUAUGGAUUGAAGAUUAUGAGUUGAAUACUCAUAUGAUGAAGACACUAAGAAUAAUCAUUUAUCUUCGUGAGGGUAAAGAUAAAUUAAUAUUUGGUCCAGAAGUACCACAUCUUAGUGAAGUAUAUGCUUUAUUGUAUUUGGCACAAUACAUUGAAUGAAAUAAAGCUUAUUUAUUAAUAUCUCCAAGAAAUUACAGAUAUAUACAUACACAUGAGUUAAAAUAAACAAACAGGAUGGAGCCUUCACAAAGGUUGCUCAUGUGAAGCCUCAGUACUCGGAAGUACCCCAGAAGGGGGAGGCACUGGAGAUUGAUCAUGUGGCACCCCAGUACUUAGCAAAACACCAGAAGGGGAAGGCAUCAGUUGCUUUCGGAAUCUAGCAACGAACCUCUGGUGAUCACUUUGAAUCCGACUUUCGGAUUCCUGCAGUUGGACGAGCUUUCUUUUCAUGCUCGUAGAGUAACUAUUUGCAAGCACGUGUUAACACCCUAUUCUCGUGCUUGAGCCCUCUGAUCUCUUGUUUAAGACUUGUCAUCUCUGCCAUCAAUGAUUUAAUUUGGCGAGUUUGAGCAAGUAAGCGUUGGCCCAUAUUGGACACAGAGCCAGCACACUGAACACUAAGAGCCAAGGAGUCUUGAACGGCCGACUCUUCAGACCGUUCUGAAAGGAUCUUGUUAUCCCUUGGAGUGAGAAGAUUCCUAGCUACCACAGUAGCGGUUAUGUUAUUCUUCAUCAUAGAGUCCCCAACCGUAAGAGGACCAUUAGAAGAUAAGAAGGACGGGCGCCAUAUAUUAUCUUGACGCUGCUCGUCUGUAUCACUCCUAAGACUCAAAUCUAAGCAAAUGUUAGAUGGGCAAGUCAUUUUUCAGAAAUGAUGAAGGAAAAAUAGAGGUCAAAUAAAAUUUCAGAAGUGCAAGAAGGUGGAAAUUUCUCAAGUAGCAACUUUCUGAACAUACUCUUGAACGCAAUUGAUGUCUCUAUAAAAGAAGAGGCAACAUAGCCGCUUGUUCAAAGAUCGAAGCGACACGGCUCUCCGAAUUUCAAAAAGCCAGAUUUUCCUGAAUAAAGUUCGUUGUCAUUUUUCAGACGUAAUCUCAGCUUUUCAGAUAUCGCGUGCAACUUUGUCAAAGAUCUCUGACAAAGUUGAAAACGCGUAAAUCUUACUGUUCUAUUUACACCACAGUUGCUGACAAGAGUAAAAGCACAGCACCACCACUUGCUAUUGAGAAAUCUCUAUAUAUGUCGACCUCUGUUCUCCAUAACAAGGCAGACCCGCAACACUGCAAGAAUACCUAACUCUUCCUCAUCUCCGAGAAUGCAUCUUCAACAUAGCAUUUCGAAAUACUCAGUUUUCUUCCUCUCCGAGAAUACCUCUUCAAACAUGUCACACCAGAGCAAGAUUAUCACAUAUCUUCAGGGACCAGAGCAAGAUUAUCUCAUAUCAUGCAAUCUCCCUGUCAUUUCCUUGUCCUUGUUCUUGCCUGCAAAGACAAGGAUAAAGAAAGCAAUAUGUCGGAACCUCCACUCAAACUCCCGGUAAGGAACCGACUGCCUGGAACCUUUCCCGAUUGCUUACCAAGUAUUGCUCUCGAGUAGUCAUCUUCAAUUGUUGUUGGAGCGGGGUCUCCAGUCACCAAGAAGAAGUGAUGAACCAUUCAAAUGCAAGGGUUUGCAUUCCUCUCCUGCAUCAGGGGACAAAUCCUACAAGAGAAGAUGCCACACAUGCAUGGGGGAAAAGCAAGGAAAAUACUACUUAAGCAAGGGGAGCAAGUAAGGAAAGUGAAAAUGAUACAUUGAAGCAUGUGGAGACAAGCGCAACAAACGCGUGUUGAUUCAUCCCUAACAAAACUGAAGAUCACUUGCCACAUGAAGCUCCUCAUGGUCCAAUUUCAUUCAAGAUCAAUCCUCGAAGGUCCUUGAAGAAAUCACAAGUCCGAUUCAAGAUCAAGUGUCCACCACUUUUGAAUCAAAUUCCGCUCCAGAUAAAAGGAGUAAAUUCAGAUCUUCGAUACUAGUCUAGCAGAAAGUCCUACAACUCAGUUCAAGAAAAAGCCUGUGGAAAGUUAACAACAAGUAAAGCAACUCUUCUUACUAAGAGACUAAAGCAGAACGAUCAACGAUCAACCUAAAUGAUUUGAAAUCAGGGGGAGAUACUCAUCAGGGGGAGCAUCCAAAACAGAUCAAGAUUUUAACGAGUCAAUCGAAGACUUGUGGCCAUCCAAGGGGGAGUGUUGUAAAUAUUAUGUGGAUGGCCCACAUGAAUAGUUUGUUACUAUUUAUUCACAUUAUUUUCACUAUUCAUUUGUGGAAAAUUUGUAAGGUGAAUAGUGUCCUCUUUGAUUAUAAAAUGAAUGAGAGGAAGAGGAAGAAAUGGGUUCACGGGAGAGAAGAAGGAAAAGGAAGAAAGGAAGAAAGGAAGAGAGAGAGAGAGGAAAGAAGAGAGAGAAAGAAGAGGAAGAGAGAAUAGAGGAAGAUGAGAGGAGAUAAUAGAGAGAGUUAUCUUUGUACUCCUAUUAUUUCAAAUUAUAAUGAAAGCGCCGCUGCUGCCCCGAGGACGUACUCCAGUCACACUGACUGUAGAGGAACCUCGUAAAUUUUGUGUCUUGUUUCAUUUAUUCCACUGCACCCACAGUCGAUUUUACAACACCCAUGACUUUGAAAUAUCACCAUUUUUCAUAAAUUUAUGGCAAUUUGAUGAUGAUGAUAAUAAUAAAUAAUAAUAAUAAUAAUAAUAACAACAACUAUAUGCAUAAAUAGGACAUAAAUCUUCUUCAUGUGAUCAAUUGAUUUGAAUCAAAGGAAUGCAAAUAUAAAAGUAAAUUGUGACAUUACGGGCUCGUUUGGGCUAAACCUCAUAAUAGGCUAGCAAUAAUGUGGUUCAAAUUCGCCUUUGCCGAGAAUCGAACCUAAAACUUCUCACUUACAAAUGAAGAGAAAGACUACUAGAUCAUAGUACUAAGUGACAACAAAUGUGAAUUUUAAAUUACAUAAGAUUUGAUUUUCCUCAAUCCUCACUUGAAUGAGUAUAUGCUCUAAUUGAGCAACAGAAUAUGCUACAAAAUUCUCUUCAUGAAAUAGCUACUUUGGAGUCACCAUAAAUAUUUUGAAUUUUCUUAUUGAUAUUUAGAUAGCUGGGACAACUGAAAGCGAAACUUCAUGAAAGCCCAAAAUAUCACAACCAAAGGUUGCCCAACAAGCAUUUUGACUUCCCUUUGUAGAUCCAUCAAAAUACAGCUUCAAAGUACUAUCGUAGGGUUGGUGGGAGCUCUUUUCACAGACGCAGGUUACACCAGUUGACCGACCGACGUGGUCAAAUCCUUGCACUCAAGUUCGAAUUUCCCUCCUCGUAAAUUAGAGUAGUUUAGUGUAUAGUUCGAAUCCCCCUCAUACAAAUCCUUUAGCAAAACUUUACAAUUCCUUGCUCCCGAAU